rnacentral:piRNA from 1 species
UCUCAGUGUGUCUUAUAAGUGUUCAUUAACAA